ACAGCCAGAUCACGUUGAAACACUAGUUCCCAUACGAUCACCGAAGUUAAGCAACGUUGAUCCUGAUCAUUACCUAGAUGGGUAACCGCUUGCGAAUA